rnacentral:rRNA from 1 species
GUAAACGUUGGGCACUAGGUGUGGGGGACAUUCCACGUUCUCCGCGCCGUAGCUAACGCAUUAAGUGCCCCGCCUGGGGAGUACGGUCGCAAGGCUAAAACUCAAAGGAAUUGACGGGGGCCCGCACAAGCGGCGGAGCAUGCGGAUUAAUUCGAUGCAACGCGAAGAACCUUACCAAGGCUUGACAUACACUGGACCGUUCUGGAAACAGUUCUUCUCUUUGGAGCUGGUGUACAGGUGGUGCAUGGUUGUCGUCAGCUCGUGUCGUGAGAUGUUGGGUUAAGUCCCGCAACGAGCGCAACCCUCGUUCUAUGUUGCCAGCACGUGAUGGUGGGAACUCAUAGGAGACUGCCGGGGUCAACUCGGAGGAAGGUGGGGAUGACGUCAAAUCAUCAUGCCCUUUAUGUCUUGGGCUUCACGCAUGCUACAAUGGCUGGUACAGAGAGAGGCGAACCCGUGAGGGUAAGCGAAUCCCUUAAAGCCAGUCUCAGUUCGGAUCGUAGUCUGCAAUUCGACUACGUGAAGUCGGAGUCGCUAGUAAUCGCAGAUCGGCAACGCUG